UUAAGUUAUUAAGGGCGCACGGUGGAUGCCUUGGCACUAGAAGCCGAUGAAGGACGUUACUAACGACGAUAUGCUUUGGGGAGCUGUAAGUAAGCUUUGAUCCAGAGAUUUCCGAAUGGGGAAACCCAGCAUGAGUUAUGUCAUGUUAUCGAUAUGUGAAUACAUAGCAUAUCAGAAGGCACACCCGGAGAACUGAAACAUCUUAGUACCCGGAGGAAGAGAAAGAAAAUUCGAUUCCCUUAGUAGCGGCGAGCGAAACGGGAAGAGCCCAAACCAACAAGCUUGCUUGUUGGGGUUGUAGGACACUCUAUACGGAGUUACAAAGGACGACAUUAGACGAAUCAUCUGGAAAGAUGAAUCAAAGAAGGUAAUAAUCCUGUAGUCGAAAAUGUUGUCUCUCUUGAGUGGAUCCUGAGUACGACGGAGCACGUGAAAUUCCGUCGGAAUCUGGGAGGACCAUCUCCUAAGGCUAAAUACUCUCUAGUGACCGAUAGUGAACCAGUACCGUGAGGGAAAGGUGAAAAGCACCCCGGAAGGGGAGUGAAAUAGAACCUGAAACCGUGUGCUUACAAGUAGUCAGAGCCCGUUAAUGGGUGAUGGCGUGCCUUUUGUAGAAUGAACCGGCGAGUUACGAUUUGAUGCAAGGUUAAGCAGUAAAUGUGGAGCCGUAGCGAAAGCGAGUCUGAAUAGGGCGUUUAGUAUUUGGUCGUAGACCCGAAACCAGGUGAUCUACCCUUGGUCAGGUUGAAGUUCAGGUAACACUGAAUGGAGGACCGAACCGACUUACGUUGAAAAGUGAGCGGAUGAACUGAGGGUAGCGGAGAAAUUCCAAUCGAACCUGGAGAUAGCUGGUUCUCUCCGAAAUAGCUUUAGGGCUAGCCUCAAGUGAUGAUUAUUGGAGGUAGAGCACUGUUUGGACGAGGGGCCCCUCUCGGGUUACCGAAUUCAGACAAACUCCGAAUGCCAAUUAAUUUAACUUGGGAGUCAGAACAUGGGUGAUAAGGUCCGUGUUCGAAAGGGAAACAGCCCAGACCACCAGCUAAGGUCCCAAAAUAUAUGUUAAGUGGAAAAGGAUGUGGCGUUGCCCAGACAACUAGGAUGUUGGCUUAGAAGCAGCCAUCAUUUAAAGAGUGCGUAAUAGCUCACUAGUCGAGUGACACUGCGCCGAAAAUGUACCGGGGCUAAACAUAUUACCGAAGCUGUGGAUUGUCCUUUGGACAAUGGUAGGAGAGCGUUCUAAGGGCGUUGAAGCAUGAUCGUAAGGACAUGUGGAGCGCUUAGAAGUGAGAAUGCCGGUGUGAGUAGCGAAAGACGGGUGAGAAUCCCGUCCACCGAUUGACUAAGGUUUCCAGAGGAAGGCUCGUCCGCUCUGGGUUAGUCGGGUCCUAAGCUGAGGCCGACAGGCGUAGGCGAUGGAUAACAGGUUGAUAUUCCUGUACCACCUAUAAUCGUUUUAAUCGAUGGGGGGACG
rnacentral:rRNA from 1 species